GUAGGUGGCAAGCGUUGUCCGGAAUUAUUGGGGCGUAAAGCGCGCGCAGGCGGUUCUUUAAGUCUGAUGUGAAAGCCCACGGGCUCAACCGUGGAGGGUCAUUGGAAACUGGAGAACUUGAGUACAGAAGAGGAAAGCGGAAUUCCACGUGUAGCGGUGAAAUGCGUAGAGAUGUGGAGGAACACCAGUGGCGAAGGCGGCUUUCUGGUCUGUAACUGACGCUGAGGCGCGAAAGCGUGGGGAGCAAACAGGAUUAGAUACCCUGGUAGUCCACGCCGUAAACGAUGAGUGCUAAGUGUUAAGGGGUUUCCGCCCCUUAGUGCUGCAGCUAACGCAUUAAGCACUCCGCCUGGGGAGUACGGCCGCAAAGGCUG
rnacentral:rRNA from 1 species